UUGGCGUGUACAGCUGCA
rnacentral:misc_RNA from 1 species